UUAACCCGGAUUUUGUCUAAACUAAAAAAUGUAAGCAGUCAUUACGUAUUCUUUAUUGUUUUUUUAAAAAAAGUUGUCACUGCUAAAAAGUAUUAGUUGUUUGCACUAUUUAGACAAAUAAUUGACUACACUGAUCAAGUUAAGAAGACAUCACUCAGUAUGUUAAGUUUUUGAAAAGGGGGAGGGGCUUUUUGAAGCAGGUCGCUUGAGCAGAGAGCUGCAGCUGCCUCAAGAGAAGGGUUGACGAGCCAACGGUUUAUUUUUGAAAACAACGUGAAUCGGACUCUGCUGAUGAUCAUGUGUUCCAAGACCUUGACCUUGGAAUCCUUCUUGUUGAGCUCCAUCCUCUCUGCAUCUCAAUCCAGCCUCAUUUAAGAUUGUCAUCGAGGGAGAAGUUGUGAUGGAAAGCAUUAAAGACUUGCCAAAGGCUAUCUAGUUUUAAUGCAUGUUCAGUCAUUCAGAGGGAUAUGGCAUAUUGUUGAAUACUAUGUGUUCAUGUUACUAUAAGCAAUUUGUACAGUUGUUGACUAGCAAACAAGAAUUGCAUGUCAAAAAAUGUUACUUGUCUUUUGUAUGACAAGUUCAUACAUGGAUGAAUACACUGUACUGCCUGUUUUUAUAAGCAAUAAAAACAUUAGAAUGUG